CAGCAGUAGCCGCGGUAAUACGGAGGGGGCUAGCGUUGUUCGGAAUUACUGGGCGUAAAGCGCACGUAGGCGGCUUGGUAAGUUAGAGGUGAAAGCCCGGAGCUCAACUCCGGAAUUGCCUUUAAGACUGCCGAGCUAGUAGGUGAGAGAGGUAAGUGGAAUUCCGAGUGUAGAGGUGAAAUUCGUAGAUAUUCGGAAGAACACCAGUGGCGAAGGCGGCUUACUGGCUCAUUCUAGACGCUGAGGUGCGAAAGCGUGGGGAGCAAACAGGAUUAGAUACCCGUGUAGUCCCUGUCUCUUAUAA
rnacentral:rRNA from 1 species